AACUGCAACUUAUUAUUAUUAUUAUUUUUUUAAAGAGAAAAGUAGUAUGCUACCCGCUUCAUUCAUUUAGUAGAUGAAUUUAGCUACAAGGGUUAAGGCAACGCAAUUUCGAAAAAUAUUGAAGACAACCAAAACAAAAAGAUAAAUAAAAACUAAAAUUUUAAAAUUAUAGACAAUUGAUACUGCAACUUUUUUUCGUUCAACAAAAAUA
rnacentral:lncRNA from 1 species